GGAUACAGCUCAGUGGUACAGUGCCUGCCUGGAAAGCAUGAGGCCCUGAGUUCAAGUCCCAGUACCA
rnacentral:tRNA from 1 species